UGACCAUGCUGGAUUGUGGAAGACAAUUCAUGACAAUUCCAGCAAUAUGGCGUUCACACUGUGGACAUUCUUCGAAGCAACUUUGUUAUGUUUGAAUGCGAUUUGUGUUCUGAACGAGGAAAGAUUUCUCGCGAAAGUUGGUUGGGCGUCAUGGCAAAAUGUACAAGGAUUUGGAGAACCUCCGACAGCUAAGUCGCAAAUAUUAAAUCUCAUCAAGUCGAUACGAACUGUGAUGAGGGUUCCUCUGAUAUUCUUCAAUAUCUUGACAUUAGUCAUAAAGCUCAUACUUGGUUGAUAGAGAAGAGAUAUAGGACAGGAAUGUGCGAAUGGAAUGCGCUGUGUGCAAGUUUACGUGUUGAAAAUAAUAUUGAUUAUUGUAACACAAUACUCUCUGUGAUCCAAGCA